CAACUACAUGUGCACAAAAUAUUUCACAUACCAUUUCCUCCCCUAACAUGUAGUGAGGUGUAUGCCAAUGAAAAGCAGCAGGUGAUGAACAGUACAAUACUCAAGCAUCUUAGAGCAGUUCACGUGUAUCUCAGCAAUUUAGUGCUAUUUUCUCGUACAAGGCCUUCCUGCACUGGUACACAGGUGAGGGCAUGGAAGAAACAAAGUUUGCCGAAUCCAAGAGUAAUGUUAAUCAAUGACCAGAGCCUGAGUAUCAGUGGUGAUAGAAUGCCAGGUGCAGAGACCAAAACUUUCUAACGUCCAUGUUGCUCAAAGGAAGAGUGACAAUUGUGAAUAU
rnacentral:lncRNA from 1 species